CAGCAGCCACGGUAAUACGUAGGUGGCAAGCGUUGUCCGGAAUUAUUGGGCGUAAAGGGCUCGCAGGCGGUUUCUUAAGUCUGAUGUGAAGGCCCCCGGCUCAACCGGGGAGGGUCAUUGGAAACUGGGAACCUUGAGUGCAGAAGAGGAGAGUGGAAUUCCACGUGUAGCGGUGAAAUGCGUAGAGAUGUGGAGGAACACCAGUGGCGAAGGCGACUCUCUGGUCUGUAACUGACGCUGAGGAGCGAAAGCGUGGGGAGCGAACAGGAUUAGAUACCCCGGUAGUCCCUGUCUCUUAUAC
rnacentral:rRNA from 1 species